UGGUUUUGGUCGCCCCGAAAGGGGUGCCAAGAGGGAAGCAGGUGCGAAUCCUGCGCAGUCCCGCUGCUGUGAGUUUCAGACAGUUAGCCUCUCCUAAAGAGAUAGCCACUGCGGCACGCCAAGGGGUCGUGGGAAGGCUGGAGAAAGGUUCGGAACAAGCCAGAAGACCUGCCAAAACC
rnacentral:ncRNA from 1 species